rnacentral:lncRNA from 9 species
CAUGAGGUGGUAUCUUGGGUUUUGAUUUGCAUUUCCCUGAUGAGCGAUGCUGGGCAUCUUUCCACGUUCCUGUCGGUCGGCUAUAUGUCGUCUGUGGAAAACUGCCUAUUCAGGAGCUCCUGUUGUGGCUCAGCUGGGUAGGAACCCAACACAGUGUCCGUGAGAAUGUGGGUUCAAUCCCUGCCCUCCUCAGUGGGCUAAGGAUCCAGCGUUGCUGCCAGUUGCAGAUGUGGCUCAAAUCCAGUGUUGCUGUGCCUGUGGUGUAGGAUUCGACCACUAGCCCUGGAACGUCCAUGUGCUGCAAUGCGGCCUUAAAAAGAAAAAAAAAAAUCAAUUGACAGAGUUCCCCUGUGGCACAGUGGGUUUAGGAGCCAGUGUUCUCCCUGCACCAGCUUGGCUUGCUUCCAUGGUGGGUUCAAGCCCAGGGAUUUCCACAUGCCACAGGUGUGUCCAAAAAGAAAAAAGAGGAGUUCCUGUUGUGGCUCAGUGGUUAAUGAAUCCAACUAGGAACCAUGAGGUUGCGGGUUCAAUCCCUGGCCUUGCUCCAUGGGUUAAGGAUCUGGCGUUGCUGUGAGCUGUGAUGUAGGUUACAGACACAGCUCGGAUCCCGUGUUGCUGUGGCUGUGGUGGAGGCUGGCAGCUGCAGCUCCAAUUAGACCCCUUGCCUGGGAACCUCCAUAUGCCACAGGUGCGGCCCUAAAAGGACAAAAAAAAAAAGAAAAAAAAAGUGCAUUAAAAAAUCAAUUGGCCACGGAUGUUUGGGUUUAUUUCUGGACUCUCAUUUCUACUCCAUUGGUCUAUGUAUCAGUCCUUAUGCCGGAACCACACUGGGGGUUUGGUUUGGUUUGGUUUUUUCUUUUUCAAGAGCCACACCCACAGCAUGUGGACGUUCCCAGGUUGGGGUCUAGUUGAAGCUGCAGCUCCCAGCCUACACCACAGCCACAGCAGCUCGGGGUCUGAGCCAUGUCUGUGGUCUACACCGCAGCUUGUGGCAGUGCCGGAUUCUUAACCUACCGAGCGAGGCCAGGGAUCGAACCCCCUUCCUCAUGGAUCCUUGUCAGGUUCGUAACCCCUGAGCCACGACGGGAACUCCACAAACCACACUGCUGUGAUUACCGUCGCUUUGUCGGAAUUACUGAAAUUGGGAAGCGUGGAUCCUCCGACUUCUUUAUUUCAACACUGUCUUGGCUUUUUAAGGCCCUUUAUGCUGCUUUCUGAAUUUGAGGACUGGCUCUUCCAUUGCUGCGGAGCGGACUUCUGGAGCCUGACAGCGACUGUACUGAACCUGCAGACGGCUUUGGAGGUGACGCCGUCGUCACGGUAUGAAGUCUCCCUGCCCAGGAACAAAGCAUGUCCUUCCACGUACUCGGAAUUCCAUGCUACGGAUUUCUGAGUUUUUCCUGCUUGAAUUUGUUGAGCUUCUUGUACAGGUAUUUAUCUUCUUUUUCUGCCUCUUUUUCCUGAUUCUCAUAACACAAUGUGGGGUUCUAGACGGUAUCCCACACUUCUCCUUAAGUUGUUCUGUUUUUCAUUCUUUUUUUCUCCUGAUUAGAUUGGGUUAUUUCAGUUACCCUGUCAAGUUCACUGAUCAUUUCUGAUGUCUGGUCAGAUCUGUUGAACAGAUUUGAUUUUCAAAUCUCAGCUAUGAACUUUUCACCUCCGGAAUUUCUGUAUGAUUUGUUUGUAUAAUUUCUCUUUAUUGAUUACUCUAUUGUUCAUAAACUUAGUUCUUUGUCAAUUAUUUCCAUCAACUCUUUGAGAAUAUUUAAGACUCUGUAGUUAACUCUAAUUUCUGCGUUUGCUCAUGGAUGGUUUCAAUUUUUUUCACCUGUGAAUGACCCAUGGUGUUUUUGUUUGUUUGUUUGUUUGUUUUUAGGGCCGCACCCACAGCAGAUGGAAGGUCCCAGGCUAGGGGUCGAGUCCGAGCUACAGCUGCUGGUCUACACCACAGCCACAGCAACGCAGGAUCUGAGCUGUGUCUAUGACCUACACUGCAGCUUGCAGCAACGCCAGACCCUUAACGGGUACACUGAGGGAAGCCAGGGAUUGAACCCAUAUCCUCAGAGCGACAGCGUGGGGUCCUUAAGCUGCUGAGCCACAGUAGGAACCCCCACAGUUCUCUCUUCCUUUCCAUGUUUUGUAAUUGUGCGUGUGUGUGUGUGUGUGUGGUGUGUGUGUGUUUCCCAUUUCUUGGGCCGCUCCCGCGGCAUAUGGAGGUUCCCAGGCUAGAGGUCUAAUUGGAGCUGUAGCCACCGGCCUACAGCACAACCACAGCAACGAGGGAUCCAAGCGGUGUCUGCGACCUACACCACAGCUCACAGCAACGCUGGAUCCUUAACCCACUGAGCGAGGCCAGGGAUCGAACCCACAACCUCAUUGUUCCUGGUCAGACUCGUUAAAACACUGAGCCACGACGGGAGCGCCAUAUGUUUUGCAAUUUUUUGUUGCCAACCAGGCAUGUUGAAUAUUGUAGCAUGUGAGGCAGAAAAUCAGUCUCUCCCCUCUCUCCCAAGCACUGCUGCCUUAGUCCUUGGGGCCUUGCAGAUCUUACAGCCGAAGGCUGUGGUCAUCCGUGUAGUGACCUACAAACCACCUUCACACACUGUAUUUCUUGUCAUGCAUGGUCACUGAAGUCUGUUACUUAAGCUUCUGUUCAACUAAGGUUGUGUCACAAAUUUCUUUAAAUUCCUGGAUCAAAUAAGAUUGGGGGGGGAGGCUCUUCUGCCUUUUUAUUUUAAAUGGCUAUAUCCACGGUACGUGGAUCGCCCCAGGCCAGGGAUGUAAUCUAAGCCACAGCUGCGACGUGUGCCACAGCUGUGGCACCGCUGGGUCCUUUAACCCAACGUGCCAGGCUAGGGAUCGAACCCACACCUCCACGGCACCCAAGCUGCUGCAGUUGGACUCUUAACCCACCGCGCCAUGGUGUGAACUCAUUCUGCCUUUUGAAUCCCCGGAUUCAUGCUACCAGAGAGGCUGUUCUAGCUGUGGAUGCUGAAAUAAUGACCACGCUGAACCGGCUCCUCAGCAGAGUUCCAGGCAGAUUAAAACACACAGCUCGAAUCUCUGGAGGCAGAAGCUCCUUUUAUUCACCCUGGCUUGAGCAGGUUGUGCCAGUAAGGUGGGGUGCUGUUCCCCCCGGCUGCCAUGGCGGGGCUGGGCGUGGUGGUGGCUACAUGAAAUGCCAAAAUUCACUGAAAUCUGCCAGCCUUUCUUUAUCAACCACCUCCUUGGAUGUUGUGAGUCUGAGGAGACUCCUCAGUGCUAAAAUAGUUAUUUUAGUUCUUGUCGUGGCUCAGUGGUUAACGAACCCAACUAGUAUCCAUGAGGAUGCAGGUUCGAUCCCUGGCCUCACUCAGUGGGUUAAGGAUCUGGCGUUGCUGUGGCUGUGGGGUAGGUCGCAGACACAGCUCGGAUCCGGUGUGGCUGUGGCCGUGGCGGAGGCUGGUGGCUGCAGCUCUGACUGGACCCCUGGCCUGGGAACCUCCACAUGCCUUGGAUGUGGUCUUUAAAAAACUGAAGCGUUAAUUCAGACAGAUUUUGCAAGCUCAGUAGUUGAUUUGGUGGGGUACUGAUUCCUGGAGCUUACCUAUGUUGGAAGGGUUUGAGUUACACGUUCAGCUGUUUUUUUUAGGUUCCCAGGCUAGGGGUCAAAUGGGAGCUGUAGCCGCCGGCCUAUACCACAGCCACAGCUGCACCGGAUCCAAGCCACAUCUGCAACCUGUACCCCAGCUCACAGCAAUGCCGGAUCCUUAACUCACUGAGCGGGGCCAGGGAUCAAGUCCGGGUCCUCACGGAUGCGAGUCGGGUUCAUUAACCACAAGCCAGGACGGGAACUCAUUCGUUCUUUUUGAGUUGCGUAACUUCAUCUGCGUUGAGAGCACUUGCCCUCAUUUCAUGGGGUGUGGUCGCAGCUCAUGUCCUUUCUGCUGCCCCCGGCAUAUGCUUACGUCGCUGUUUUCUCUCCCUUUAGGGGUUUUCCUGGCUCUUUGCACAUCGAGUCAUUCUCGAUGGUUCUGGACAUCUUGCGUGGUCUCUGAAUCCUAUGUAAAGCCUCUAGAGAAUGUUAACUUUUUUUCUUUUUUUAAAGCAGGCACAUGAUCCAGCCAGGGUCAGACUGAACUGCCAACCUACCCGCUGUGCGCCGUGGUUCCAGGUUUCGUCGUCUCACCAGAGCGCGUCUGAAACCUGCGAACACUGGUCACUGGGGACAGGAGCACGGAGGCGGGUCCACCUGGGUCUUUCCACCCCCGCACGCGGUGCAGCCUCACCUCCGCUCGGGCCUCAACUCACCACGCGGUGAUGGCACGGAGCCUCCAGAGCUGCCUCAGCCCACGGGACGGCACGGGGCCCAGACGCGCGCCUCCCCCAGCGGCUGCCACCCUCUGCUCUGAGGAGCUCGUCGGCUUCUACGAACCGAAGGCCUCCUCUCUCGACUCCUUUCUCGGGUGGAGGAAGGUCACCCUGCAGGACGGCGGUCGCCUCCCCUCCGCUCCAUUCACUUCGGCGUGAACUACGGCAUCACCAGAGCGGCUCCUCCGGAGCAAGAAGGGGCCGCGACCUAAAGCACUGGAAGCAGGGAUCCGCCGCGGACCCCGGCCCCAAAGGCGCGGCCGUCCAGGCCGCUGUCCGCACCGCCCUGCCUGUCUCUAGGGAGGGCGCCACUCUUCGCUCCGUGGGAACUGUCCUUGAAGGCGGUGCCACACCCCGGGUGACGGGCCGGGACCUGCGUGCCCGCCUGCCCCUUAGACACGGUUUCCGUCUCACAGGACGACGUGGCUCAGCUGCUUUGCAACGUCCCUUCCCAGGCUGAGCGCUGAGCCUGCAGGAGAAACGGCAGCUACGGGCUGUUCAACUCCAACUCGACGGCAACAGCCAGGCUGACUCAGCGGGGCCUGCGACCGGAGCCUGUGCCCGGGCACACGCGCUCCCCCUUCCCGCGGUGGAGCCCGGAGCUGGCACUGCUGUCGUCACAGCCGCUCCUUCCGACACUUGUUCCAGCGCACGAGGCCUCUGGCGAGCUCCGAACAGAGCAGUGCCUGCUUAAGCUUAUCCAAAGGACAAUGAUACUCUGUAUUCAAUUAAAAUUAAUAAAAAUAUUUUAUUGAGUUUC